rnacentral:tRNA from 1 species
UCCCUGGUGUUCCAGUGGUUAAGAUUGUCCACUUCCAAUGGAAGGGGUAUGGGUUCGAUCCCUGGUCAGGGAA